AAAAAACAAAAGAUGAAGCUACUGAAAAGAGUUUGUUUUAUUUCCAGGAUCAAAUAUUACAAUAGGACAUUUACAUAUAUUUAUAAAAAAUGCAGCAGUUGUUUAUAUAGAUGAGAGAGGUUUCCUUGAGUUUGGUCCCUCCCAGCACAGUGAGCUGAAAUCUUCCAAAGACUUCUCCUCCUCCCACUCAGUUGCAUCAUAAUUAAAUAAAAUUGCUGCUGUACAAAAUGACAGGCAAAGUCACAAUUUUGCACAGUUAAAAACUACGUUUAUCAACUGGAGGAGCCAACUCCAUAAACAGACAUCUUGUAGCAAAGUGCACGAUGUGCCUGGUUAGACACCACACUUCUCAGACUCUUGAGUGACUCACAUUUUUGUCAAUUAAAGCUGUUCUAUAAAAUAGCACCACAUCCCCCUCCAUCUAGGUUUAUACUACAUCCUCUUAUGACUCAAAAGUUCCUAUACCUUUAAACAAUUAUAAGAUACAGGAUUAUUACUCUCUUCUGUACUGAAGGUGUACUGGUGGAAAUAAUGACAACUGACAGUGACUGAGUCCAGAAUUUCUAUAAUUAUUAGUAAUGUAUUUUUGCAUAAAGGUAGAUGACAAAACUGAGGCAAUUUAAGGCAUAAGGCAGUGACACUAAGUGCUGCAUUCUUCAAUAAAAUGCCAGUAUGGCCAUUUUUACUGGGACUGGAUAGACACUGUAAAUGAUCUCACAGCUAACUAUUAACAGAUUCGAAUAAAAUUCUCCUGUAUGACACAAGGCUGUGUCUAUUAACCUCACAGGUUCAAAAAGUAAACAGCAGAUCAUAACUGAGCUGGAAUAAAAUUGAGCACUUUUCUGGCAUAUAAGGGAAAAUCCUUGUAAAAUAAUUCUUUUAGAAUGCCUAUAGCAGUAAUGUACACAGAUUUCAACAGCAAUUGUCGAAAUCUGUUCUGAUUAAUUUGCAGAGGAACUAGCUUGAAUUUGGAAAUUAAUGAAAAUUCCAACCCAGGUAGGUGUCUGGCACAUUUGUGUGUGUCAAUACUUUACCCAAUUUUGAGUUAUUUGAUUAAAAGGAACAUUCUAGCCUUUACAUAACAGGGGAAGAUUGCUUUUUAAAAAAUGUUAACACAGCAUGACAAAAGGCAUGCCUACCUAUCCUUCACGUGACUGAAGGCUGUCAGUAUUUAUACUUAAUAUAGCAAAACCAUGUCCAUAGAUCUCCAUGCCCUGGACUGCAUCACUGUUAACUACUAGCUUGGUAAAAGAAAAGAUGAAAAAAAAACCCUAAAGACAUGACUGUAAAUUGAUUCAGCAGUUCUGCUGAAUUAGGCAAGAAGAGUGGGGGGAAAAACAGCUAGUAUCUAGUCCACAAAGCCACUACAAGGAUAACUGCUAAAGGGACGUCUCAAAGGAUACAUCCAGUUUCACCCAGACAAGUCUCUGUAACAAAUUUUCAGCCAACCUCAAUACAUGAAUAGCAUUAAUCACUUGUCUAUCUGUAUUCAUCUUUACACAGUUUGGCAUUUGGAAUAAGGAUAGAAGACCAAUGAGUUCUCUCACGUGGUCCCUUAUUUUCCUCCUAGAAAAAUUAUGAUUUGUAGAUAGAAUUCUUAUGGUCCUUCAGUGCUAGUGGACUCAGCACUCCAGUUGGGAAGAGCAAACAACAAAUGGAGAAACAGACUUCUUACCCCAAAAGUUACAUUCUAAUCAUCACAGUCACUAAUUAGUCAUGUACAGUACUGAUUGUGAAGGUCAUAUACCACUCAGCUGAGAAUCUACUGGGCUGUACCACAUAGCUACAUAUGCAGUUCUGUGUGAGCUCUACAGAUCAAACACUCAGAACAGAAAAGGUGAAAGGUAGUUAUACUGUACUAGCACCCAACUGUUGGUAUAUUUAAUCUGUUUGGCCAAUAUUGCUAUUGAAGGGCAAGCUGGGUUUUAAAAAAUUUUUUUAAGAUUUCAGGACGUCAAUUAUACUCUUAAAACAAAGCUGUAUUCUGAGCAGACUGAGUACUUGGUGCUGUCAGUUAUUUAGCUCAUUCAAACUUUUGUAAAAUGCAUAAAUAUUAUGGGGAAGUAACAAGAAGAAUAUGGAACACUGAAAUGAGCUGUUCCUUUCAGUCUACAAAUCCCAUUUUAACUGCAGUCUGUACAACUAUGUGGGUAAGUCUACCGAAACAGAAAGACAGUGAGGGUUUUGUUACAUCUGCUAGUUUUUAAGAUUGUGCACAAGUGUCUGAGGCAAGGCUGUAUUUCAUCAAAUGGUUUCUAGCAACAGCAUAAACCAUGAUAGCAGAAGUAGAGGUUUGUAUGCAUUGUAUGUAUCUCAGAUGAAAAAUGCAGAAUUAUAUGCAACUGAGUAUUUACAACACUAAUACUAACAAAUUACAGGCACCUAAAUUUCUAUUCAACUAUCCACACUGGUUAGCAAUGGAAUGCAUCCCCCAUCCCCCAAAGUUUUUCACUCUACUGUACUAACAGACUAGCAGAUUUGGCUCUUUUCGAAAAGCUUUGAUGUAGCACAGCUAAGGAAAUGCUCUUUAAACAACUCCUGAUAACUCUGACACCCUUUGUAAUACUAUACUGUGUCACUAUAAUUUAAUAACACUUUAAAAAUAAGACUUUAAAAGCCUGUAAUUACAAGGCUAUUAGACAAUUUCAAAAAGAAAGAGCAUGAGCACAUUUGGUGAUUUACCAGGGAGUGCAAUGUGCAUCCAGAAGCAAAGCUUAGCAUGUGAGUGUACAAUACCAAUCUUUUAGGUCCUAAUUCAAAGCUCACUGAAGUCAGUGGAAAGACUCCCAGUUGCUUAUGCUCAGGCCCUCACUGCCUUCUCUAGGCAGAGUGUGUUGCAAGGUUGAAGCUUUCAGUCAGCUUGCUAUACUAUAUGCUGUGUCUGGAAACCUAGCACAGUAGCAACCGCUCGCUCUACAUGGGAGUGGAGGAGAUGACUAUAAGAGGACCACGGUUCCCAGUAUCCUGGGAGUCACUCAUCUCAAAUUCCUCCUCAGUAGGGAUGAACCAAUAUCAUCAUUAUCAUCAUCCUUUAAAUCGAUGCUCUCUUAAUCUGAUGUUUAUAAAGCUACUGUACACAUCAACUCCUAGUCAUGAUUAACUGCAAUACACGAUUAAUUUUCAAGGAAUGAACAGAGUUGGAGAGCAAAACAAGACAAAUAGAACAUAUGGGACAAAUUGCUCCUUUAAAAAAAAAAAAAAAAAAAAGGAACUACAACUCAAAACGUAAGAGUUUGAAAUAUCUUUAAUCUGAGAGGACGGAGAUGGUUAUUUCCUCCCGUAUCUGCCAAGGAUACGCACUCCCAUUUUAUAAACACAUCUCUGCUCUCUAGUACUCCUCAUGACAGACCCAACAAAGUAAUACUCAUUAGUGAGACCAAAAAACCCAGUCAUUUAGGUUAAGGGUCCUGCCUGAAGCUACACAUCAAGUCCACUUCCAAACGUCUGUUUUGCUAGCCCCUUAGAUCACCACCUACCCUUGCAACUAACAUGAGACCUUUCCCCAGCCCACUCCAAAACAACGUGCAUCUCAGCCUCACCAUCAUGAAACAAUCUGACAAAGUUUUUGUUUACACGGCACGUUCUGUGGCAAUACAAAAAAA